rnacentral:lncRNA from 1 species
AGAGAAAAAACAUGUACUUUUCUUGGAGCAGGGAGAUGACGACAAUCAGACAAACCAUCUCGAAUCUACAUUCAGGUUUACUCCUCCUGAAGUUUUACUUUUUGCCGAAAUUUGUCGAUCUAGGGUUGGUUUGAUCCUCCAUUCAUAGUUUAUGUCCGACUAGCAAAUUAUAUUACUCUUUCUAGCAGGAGCAAAUUAUCUUCCUUGGUGUUGACCAACCAACAUGUGCAGAUAUACUUUCAACGGAUCCCAUGUACGUGUGUUGCUCGAUCGAAAGGCUGAAAACCUGUG